GACGUAGGGCGCGAGCGUCGUCCGGAUUUAUUGGGCGUAAAGAGCUCGUAGGCGGCUUGUCGCGUCGUCCGUGAAAACCUGCAGCUCAACUGCAGGCUUGCGGUCGAUACGGGCAGGCUGGAGUUCGGUAGGGGAGACUGGAAUUCCUGGUGUAGCGGUGAAAUGCGCAGAUAUCAGGAGGAACACCAGUGGCGAAGGCGGCUCACUGGCCCGGUACUGACGCUGAGGUGCGAAAGCUAGGGGAGCAAACAGG
rnacentral:rRNA from 1 species